rnacentral:rRNA from 1 species
AGAAUCAACGCUGGCGGCGUGCCUAACACAUGCAAGUCGCACGAGAAAGGGACUUCGGUCCUGAGUAAAGUGGCGCACGGGUGAGUAACACGUGAAUCAUCUACCUUCGAGUGGGGAAUAACUGAGAGAAAUCUUAGCUAAUACCGCAUAAUACCCACGGGUCAAAGCAGCAAUGCGCUUGGAGAGGAGUUCGCGGCAGAUUAGUUAGUUGGCGGGGUAAUGGCCCACCAAGACGAUGAUCUGUA